GUCGAGUUUGGAUCCAGCGUCCGGUAC
rnacentral:sRNA from 1 species